AGAGUUUUGAUCCUGGCUCAGGAUGAACGCUAGCGGCAGGCUUAACACAUGCAAGUCGAGGGGCAUCGGGAGGGAAGCUUGCUUUCCUUGCCGGCGACCGGCGCACGGGUGAGUAACACGUAUGCAACCUGCCCUCUUCAGGGGGACAACCUUCCGAAAGGGAGGCUAAUCCCGCGUAUAUCGGUUUCGGGCAUCCGAGAUCGAGGAAAGAUUCAUCGGAAGAGGAUGGGCAUGCGGCGCAUUAGCUUGACGGCGGGGUAACGGCCCACCGUGGCGACGAUGCGUAGGGGUUCUGAGAGGAAGGUCCCCCACACUGGUACUGAGACACGGACCAGACUCCUACGGGAGGCAGCAGUGAGGAAUAUUGGUCAAUGGGAGAGAUCCUGAACCAGCCAAGCCGCGUGAGGGAAGACGGCCCUAUGGGUUGUAAACCUCUUUUGUCGGAGAACAAAACCUGGGACGUGUCCCGGACUGCGUGUAUCCGAAGAAAAAGCAUCGGCUAACUCCGUG
rnacentral:rRNA from 1 species